rnacentral:rRNA from 1 species
UACGGAGGGUGCAAGCGUUGCUCGGAAUUAUUGGGCGUAAAGCGCGUGUAGGCGGUCUUACAAGUCCGUUGUGAAAUCCCGGGGCUUAACUCCGGAAGUGCAGUGGAUACUGUUUGACUAGAGGACGAGAGAGGAUAGUGGAAUUCCUGGUGUAGGGGUGAAAUCCGUAGAUAUCAGGAGGAACAUCGGUGGCGAAGGCGGCUAUCUGGCUCGUAACUGACGCUGAGACGCGAAAGCGUGGGGAGCAAACAGG